ACUACAUUUCCCAUAGAUCCUAGUUGUGCCGCAAAGACUGCUGGGACAGGAAGCUUCCGAUUUGGUUUCUGUUUGUGCAGUUCGCUUAAAAUGUCAUUCUGGAGCUGAAGACGUACUUCACAUAAUCGUAUUGAGAAGAUGAAUUCAGCCAAUAUUCAUAAUUUUCUGUGCAGCGUCUCUUUCACCUCAAAAUGUAUGUAAUGAUUUUUAUAUCGAGUUGAUCGACUGAGCGGGUCCGCCUUAAAAGGGCAACGGUUUGAGCGAGUGGGCCCCGCAAACACUAUCGCUCAGGGUCUUAUUUAAGUGUCGUUUGAGUGGCACCUGUCAGUGUCAUGUCAUCCUCUAAAGACAAUUUGCGCAGUCAGCGGCGCAGGGAGCUGGAUGCACGCAGGAGCAAGUCUCGCGUGCGGCUGGGCUCUUGUCUGCAGAGCUGGGGUCAGCUCAAAGAGAAACUGGGUUUCUCUCUUCACUCAGAGCUCGCUCAGCAUCUGCUGGAGAGCUAUGUUUCAAGAGUUUGUAUCCAGUGCUCAGGUGAUGGGAAAACAUGCACUCUGUCAACUACCAAGGAGUCCUUACAGGAACUCAUCCUGUUGGUUCACAACCAUGGACAGACGUGCCCUCUUCCCCCUGUCCUGCAUUCUAGGCCUGUCACAAAAACAACUGAGCAAGAUCAGAGCGCUCAUGCUGAAACUGAGUCCAACGACUUAUCUGUGGUGGACAUGUGUCUCAAAUACACCUGUGAAAAUGGACAUCAUUUUUCGUGGACUCCUAAUAAGAUAGAAAAGAUAACAACAUCUAAAACUCAAAGUGACAGAACUGCGUUUACCCCAAAGAGACAAGGCAGGAGGCGGUUGAAGGAGCCAGACACAGAGACAGAAAGACAAGAAGUGGUGACUAGAUUAAAAACCAGACAACAACAGCAACAAGAAAAUGCUGAAGUUACCACAAAUUACACAGAACAGAAACACAAGACAAGGUCUGAAACGUUGAGGGGAAACAAGAAUCCAGGUGUGACUCCUGAGACACAGGAAGGAAAUGAUGUGGCUGUUGACUCUUCACAUUCAGAGCAUGGUUCUCUAGCAAACAGCGAUGAGCUGAUUGGAGAUGGUCCUGCAAGAGUUUGCAUUGAAAACCAAAGCUCCACUGAUAGCAAUGAGGAAGUUGAAGUGCUGAAUUUAACCAACAGAGGGACCCAGAGCAGAGCAGAUCCCUCUGAGACACACAAAGCCAGCAAAAAAGCAGGAACUCUUAAAAAUACCAGUCCACAGUUAUUGAAAGAUGACAUGUCCCAGAUUGGUCACAAGAGAAGACGAAAAUCAACAUCCAAAGUGAUUUUGCCUUGCGAGUUUGAAGGCUGCGAUAAGAUUUUCUCCAGUCGGCAAUAUCUAAAUCAUCACAUUAAGUACCAGCAUCUCCAGCAGAAGACCUUCAUCUGCUCGCAUCCCACCUGCAGCAAGUCAUUCAACUUUAAAAAGCAUCUGAAGGAACAUGAAAAGUUGCACAGCACUGUAAUUCCCACCCCUGUCCAGUUGGUGGCUAGUGCGCUCCAGUGUGGCAGCAGAGCAUGGGAUACCGAACAAAAAUGAAAAUGUCACCUUUGUUUUGCUGUGUGUUUGAUUAUGCACAGGCGAGUACACAGAAACUACAACGAUCUAUCACGCCACGUUAAAGAGCUCCAAAGUGGUAUUUAUUGCUUGAAUUUACUAAGGAAAUUGUCAGAAUGUGAAAUCUGAGACAUUUUCAUAUCAAAAGUAGCACAAAGCCUAGCCUAUUGAUAUUUAUUGGAAGGAAGACGCACUAUGUACUGUCCAUUCAUCAACUGAAAACAGCAUAGACCAAGAGAUCGAUUGUGAUUUAAGAAUCAAUAUCGGUUCAUUAAAAUGAGAAUUUAUUAAAAUUGAGAAUUUUUUUUUUUUUUUUUUUUUUACCCAGCCCUAACUUAUUUUGUUUUUAAUCACUGCGCUGUCGUCCUGUAGGUUCAUGAUUAAAAACGAAAAUGUGAACAAAAAUAAAAGCAAUUAAAUGUGUUAUUCAUAAUUCAUAAUUAAAAUAUGAAAAUUAAAAUGAUGGCUAAUAAUAGAUUAUGGCGGAAUUGUUACGUCCCUGUUCGUCAAAAAGACUGACAAUGUUGAAGUCUAGCGCAACCUCUGGUCAGAAGUAAUCUAAAAGUAUGAAAAUAUGUAAAAGUAUUACCUAAAAUGUGUAAUGUAAUGGAUUACAUUACUAACUAUAAUUUUAUCAUGUAAUUUGGAAUCAGUAACAGAUUACAAUUUGUAAGUAAUUUACCCAGCUCUGUAAAUGAUGUAUAAUUGUUAUAAUUAUCAUAAAGUGUACUUAUAGACAGCCACUAAUAUGUAUGAGAAUAUGUAUACAUUGAUAGGUAUUUCAAGUUUACUAGUCUAUUCAGGUAAAAAAAAAAAAAAAGUAUAUGGUAAUUAAGUUAUUCUAAUUUAGUGGUUGUUGGUUUGUGGUUUACGGGCUGGUUUUGCAGGUAAAUAACAAUUGGUUUAUUAACUUUUAAAAGGGAGAAGAAAACACUUCCCAUAUAAUCAAACUCUACUGUAUUUUGACACAAAUUCAUCUAUAUUUCAUUCAGUUAAUUUGGUAAAAGAUUAAAGAGAUGCCAAAAUGGACAAGGUGAAAAAAAAUGGGUCCUACUUUUUAUUAGGUGUCUUUAACUACUGCUGUAUGCAUUUUGAUGAUUUUUUUUUUUUACAGUGUUUUUCAACAUUUUUACUGCUAUUAAGGUGGAAUAUAGGUAAAAGUGUAUUUGGAUGCAAAUACAGAAAUUAAUUGUACAGCUGAAGUCAAAAGUUUACAUACACCUUGCAGAAUCUGCAAAAUGUUAAUUUUACCAAAAUAAGUGGGGUUAUACAAAAUGCAUGUUAUUUUUUGUUUAGUACUGACUUGAAUAGUUUCAAGUAUUUUUACAUAGUCCACAAGAGAAAAUAAUAGCUGAAUUUAUGAAAAACACACAAAAAAAAAACACUGAACAAGUACAUUAAAUAGUAGGGAUUCGUGUUUUUCAUGCUGUGGUUAGUAAUGUGUUUCUCUCUGUAUGAUUCUUUGUGUGUGUGAGAUCAGAGAGACUAUAUCUGUGAGUUCUGUGCCCGGGCGUUCCGAACCAGCAGUAACCUGAGCAUCCACCGCAGGAUACACACCGGAGAGAAACCGCUGCAGUGUGAGGUGUGUGGCUUUACCUGUCGACAGAAGGCCUCUCUGAAUUGGC